rnacentral:rRNA from 1 species
AUUACUGGGNGUAAAGCGGGCGCAGACGGUUACUUAAGCAGGAUGUGAAAUCCCCGGGCUUAACCUGGGAACUGCGUUNUGAACUGGGUAGCUAGAGUAUNUCAGAGGGGGGUAGAAUUCCACGUGUAGCAGUGAAAUGCGUAGAGAUGUGGAGGGAUACCGAUGGCGAAGGCAGCCCCCUGGGAUAAUACUGACGUUCAUGCCCGAAAGCGUGGGUAGCAAACAGGAUUAGAUACCCUGGUAGUCCACGCCCCAACGAUGUCGAUUAGCUGUUGGGCAACUUGAUUGCUUAGUAGCGAAGCUAACGCGUGAAAUCGACCGCCUGGGGAGUACGGUCGCAAGAUUAAAACUCAAAGGAAUUGACGGGGACCCGCACAAGCGGUGGAUGAUGUGGAUUAAUUCGAUGCAACGCGAAGAACCUUACCUGGUCUUGACAUGUACGGAACCUUCCAGAGACGGAAGGGUGCCUUCGGGAGCCGUAACACAGGUGCUGCAUGGCUGUCGUCAGCUCGUGUCGUGAGAUGUUGGGUUAAGUCCCGCAACGAGCGCAACCCUUGUCAUUAGUUGCCAUCAUUAAGUUGGGCACUCUAAUGAGACUGCCGGUGACAAACCGGAGGAAGGUGGGGAUGACGUCAAGUCCUCAUGGCCCUUAUGACCAGGGCUUCACACGUCAUACAAUGGUCGGUACAGAGGGUAGCCAAGCCGCGAGGUGGAGCCAAUCCCAGAAAACCGAUCGUAGUCCGGAUUGCACUCUGCAACUC